GUGCUCUCUCUCUCUCUCUCAAAAUAAAUACACUUUUAAAAAACAAAAGAAAAAGAAUCAUCUUGGGGCAUAAUUUAGACAUUACAAUGAUAAAUCUGCCAUAGUAUGUGAUAUAAAUGGAUAUAUGAUCCAUUUCUUACUAAAAAAAGUACAUAAUAUAUGUAUUGAAAAAAGUCUAGCAAGAUUCACAUCAAGAGGUGGCCAGAAUGUGGAGCAAGUGGAACUCUUUUUUUUUAAGAUUUUUUUUCUUUUUUAGGUAAUCUCUACACUGUAUGUGGGGCUUGAACCCACAACGCCAAGAUCAAGAGUUGCACUCUACCGACUAAGCCAGUUAGGCACCCCACAAAUGGAACCCUUAUACACUGCUGUGCAGCGUCAAGGAGGAUAUUUGAACCUGGAUCUCCAUACUCUUGGCCAUUAUACUCUUCUGCUGGCUUCAGACUUCCAUGGAAGCUAUGGAACCAUAUGCUCUAUCAAAUAUUAAGAUAAAUCACAAAAGAGAAAGCCAUGAAAUCCAGGAAAAAGGUGGACCAACACAAGAG